GGUGCGGAGGAGGCUCGGCGGCCGCUGGGCUGGGGCUGGGGCUGGGGCGUUGCAGAGGCCGCGGGAGGGCGGUUUUGGAGAACAGCUCGGUGGCGGAUAGGGAUGUGCUGGGUCCAGGACGGCCGGCUCUGCACUCCCCGUGCCCCUCGCUCGCGGCGAGCCUCAGUUUACCGGCCUGGAGUCGGGGCUCCCGCACGGACCGCACUCACCUCCGCCGUACAUCUGGCACAGUGGUGUCUUCGGAUGAACGGAUGUUCUUGAUUUUAACAAACUCUUAACAAACAACUCUCGAGGGUGAGUUUUCUCUAGAGGACGGCCGGCCCCACGGUGGCAUUCAGGAGCUGGGCACUCUGGACAGAUGUCCUGCACGGUUGCUGGCCACCUGUUUGCAGGGGGUUGGUGUGACAAAGGCAAGGCCCCUCCUUCCAUUCCCCAGCCCCAGGGGUCAGGCCUGUGGGUCCCAAGGGUCACACUGCCAGACCCCGCAGGAGCCUGAUCAGGGUGGGAGGGGGUUCUGGGCGGAGCGCACAGAGACACCCCAUAGUAGGACAAAGUAAAUCCUCAGGGGCAGAUGGCUCAGGGUUCUUGGUGAGGGUGUCUUCUGACGUCCACCGACAGCUCCCUCUCAACUGACCAGACCAGAAGUGCAGCUGGGCGAACAGGCCUGGGAGGGGCAGCUGCGCUUCUCUGGGGAACCAGCAAAGCAUGGGGUGGAGGUGAGCAGUGGCAAAUGCUGAAGGGACCAGCUCUCUCUGCAGAACUCAGGGUUGUAGCGCUCGCCGAUUUCGCCGGUGUAAAUACUCCCCCUGUGGCCAAGUCCAAGUUUCCAAGACCUGGGGUUGGGCAGAGACGCGCAGGAGCCACCGCUGUCUGGAUCUCCAUGAGGCACACGCAGUAGACACAGCCCGGAGAGCAGGACGGAGAGAGCACACGCUUGAGAGAACAUAAGCAGGGGGAGCGGCACUGGGAGAUGGAGAAGCAGACUCCCCGCUGAGCAAGGAGCCCAAUGGGGAUUCGCGACCCCAGGACCCCAGGAUCAUGACCUGAGCUGAAGGCAGACGCUUAACCCACUGAGCCACCCAGGCGCCCCGGUGUCAUGUCUUAUUCAUCGUUUACUCCCUAGUCCUAUUCCUGACCUUGAGUGUCCGUAAAGUCCAGAGGAUAGAUGAGCACUUCGGGGCCAUUUCAUCAUUAUUGCUCUCUAGCAUCGAUAACCGAGGUGCCCACAUUUCAGAAGUUUUCUCCAGACAUUCGAGUUUUUGUGGCUCACCCACCACGUGCCGGCAGGCUGCCGGGCUGGGGCACUGGAGGCACACCCGGGGCCAGAACAGCGCCCCCACCCUGCUGUCCGAGGGACCUGCUUGCUCUCUCUGCGGGAGGGCAGAUGGGAGAGCAGAAGCCCCAAGGAGCUGCUGGGGUGGUGGCGGGUGGGGGGGUGCUGUCAGGGGGUGAAGGGGAGGGUCCUCCCGGGAGCCAGGCUGGGGGCCCCCCGAUAUCAGGGCUGAGUGUGCACGUGUGUGUGUGUGCUGAGCAGGCAGGAGCUCCCAGGAGACCUGAGCCUCUUCUGGCUGCAAGUGGAGCUCCUGGGCGGCCCCCCACACCCCCGUCCCCCAACUCUCAGUGUCACCAGCCUAUUCGAGCGUGGCCCUCAAGCAUCCGUGUGCCCACAGAUGCCCUCGGGGCUCAUUCAAAGGCAGGUCCGGCUUCGGGAGGUCCAGGAUGGGUGGGGCCUCCUAGGGUGCUUUUCUGACAAGUUGCCAGGGCACGCCGCCGGCCCUGGUCCAAAUGCCCGGACCUCCAGAUCAGACCCUUCUGAUCCAGCUGAUCAGCGUGGAUCAGCUCCCCACGCUGUGGCCACAUCUGCCAGGGUUUUGAGCCCGUAUUAUGCCCCAUUUGUGAAUCACGGAGACUAUUCUCUAUGGAUCGUUUUCCUGGGUGGCUCAGUGGGUUAAAGCCUCUGCCUUCGGCUCGGGUCAUGGUCCCGGGGGUCCUGGGACCAAGCCCUGCGUCGGGCUCUCUGCUCAGUGGGGAGCCUGCUUCCUCCUCCCUCUCUCUCUCUGCCUGUCUUUCCACCUAUUGGUGAUCUCUGCCUGUCAAUAGAUAAAUAAAAAUUAAAAAAAAAAAAGAAAUUCACUGUUUCACAUAAAUGCAUUUUCUUUCUUUCUUUUUUUUUUUUUUUAAGAUUUUAUUUAUUUGACAGAGAGAGAGAAAUCACAAGUAGGCAGAGAAGCAAGCAGAGAGAGAGAGGGGAGGAAGCAGGCUCCCUGCAGAGCAGAGAGCUCGAUGCGGGGCUCGAUCCCAGGACCCUGGGAUCAUGACCUGAGCUGAAGGCAGAGGCUUUAACUCACUGAGCCACCCAGGCGCCCCCGUAAAUGCAUUUUCAAAGGAAGCUUUCGAUCAUUACCAUAUCGGCAAAGAUACUGUUUGUCUAAUGCUGAUAAAGAUAAGCUGGUAAAGAUUCCAGAAUGUCUGUCCACUGUGAGCCACCUUACGUCCUCUCCGGUGCUGCGUGUGCAGUGAGGUCACCCCAUCCCUUGCCCACAGGCGGCGCCCAUGGAGCCCCAGAAUUCCACGGCGUGCCCGGCGCUUGGUAGGCAGUAGUGGGAGCCCGAGUAGUGGACCCGAGUGGAGCAGAUCCACCAGCACAUUUCUAGAUACAGGGUUUCCGUGGAGAACUUGGGACAAAAGCAUUAAGGUCCCCAAAUGUACUGGGGCCACACUGCCAAGCCCAGGCCUCUGUUUUCAGGGAGGGGAGCUGAAGCUGGACUGUCCAAUGGAGCAGCCACUGGCCACAUUGCCAUUGUUUAACCUUAUUUUAUUUUUGUAAGAUCUUACUUAUUUGUCAAAGAGAGAGAGAGAGAGAGAGAGAACGCACUGGCAGGGGGAGGGAGAAGCAGGCUCCCUGCCGAGCAAGGAGCCUGAUGCAGGACUUGAUCCCAGGACCCUCGGGUCAUGACCUGAGCUGGAAGGCAGAUGCUUAACCGACUGAGCCACCCUGGUGUCCCCUACUUAACGUUAAAUGAGCUAACGGGAAAUAAAUACUAGGCAUGCUCCAAGAGUCGGGUAGUGCGUGUGGCUGGGGGCUGCCAUGCUGGGCAGCCGGACAAGGAGAGUCCCCAUCACUUCAGGACGCCCCACCGGACACUCCUGACGGGGGUCUGGGGGACUGAAGGGGGGUUUCUCUGCUAAUUGCUGCCACAGAGAGCUUCCCGCCUGCCGGGCCCGGACUGUGAGCAAGGAAGUGGGACGCAGCCAUGUCUGAAUGCUGUCCUGUCUCCAGAAAAGAUGGGACUUUCUUUUGCUGAAUGCAACCCCUCAUCUUCCCGUUGGGAGGCUGGGUGUGCCCUCGGUGGCUCUGUCUCGUGAAGCCACUCCAUCUGCAAGAGAGGAAACCCCAACCCCCACCCUUCCCACUGCCUUUCUGUUUCUAGGGACCACGGUCUCUGGCCUGGACUUGACGGCCACCCAAUUCCAUGUAUCGCCCUGCUAACUCCUAGUCCUUUUACUGUCUCUCAGCCUUGAGCCACCCAGACACGAGCCUCUCGGGGUUCACCAGACUGCUGGUGAGUGCUUCUGGAAAGAUCUCACAGAGCUGUGAUUGGGUCUGCAGCAGCCACGGGCCGUGAAUCCUCAGCAGGGCCUUGAUGCUGCUGUUGCUCCGGGAUCUUUGUCCUGUCUCAUGGCCCUGGGCCGGGGUCCCGGACCUUCUCUGGGCGCCUAUCAAGCCUCUCUUUCCAUCCCCCUCGGCCCACUGAUGACUUAACCCAGGUCCUGAGCAGCCCUUGUCCGGCUGACGGCUCUCCCUCCAGCGCGGGACCCUUCCUGCCCCUCUCCCUCCUAGGCUGCCUCCCUGAGCGUGGGCUCCCACUGCCUCCUUCUGCCUCUGGGGCUGGUAUUUGUCCCACCGGCCGCUCUGCUCCUCUCCCUGACACGGCAAAUAGCUUUUCUGUGUGUGUGUGUGUGUGUGUGUGUGUGUGUGUGUGUGUGUGUGCCCCACAUUCUCUGUCCCGCAUCCACCAUUCACUCCUUUAUCUCUGAUCAGGGGGUGACCUAGGUAAGAAUGAGGCUCCCCCGGGACCUUGAAUCCCCAGGCCGACACCGAGUAUACAGCGACUUCGAAGACGAGACACCUGGAUGGAAAGACAUCGACCUUGUCAGGGAGUGUGGGAGUUUGGCAAAAGAUGGUAAUGAGUAGAAAAAGAGAUACUUAUGGGCCCUAUUCCUGUUUUCCCUGUUCAUGGUGAAAUAGAACAGCCAGGCAGACAAAUGCACAUCAGAUCUACCGCCCACAAAUGAUCAUCUCGCCCAGGUCCAGAACGGGAUUGCCAGCCCCGAGGGGCACUUCCGCCAUCCUGUGCGUCAGAGCCCCCACUCUCCGUGCAGAGGGAACCCUCUGCUGACCGCGCCUUUCUUGCUUUUCCCUAUGAUUUACUCCCCUCCUUCCUAAGGCGUGAAUCCCUGAUCACUACAUUUUCAUCUUAUCUGUUUGAACUCUAUAGUAUGGAAAAUACAGCGACUAUCCUUCGGGGUUUGGUUUCAUUUGUAUCACCUGAUUAUUGCUUUUUAAGUUUCCUCCAAUUGGUACGUGUAGCUGUAGUUGAUGUUUUUCUUUUCUUUUCUUUUCUUUUUUUUUGAUGCUCUGUUGUAUUUUCUCUAUGAUUAUAACCACGGAUCGGUUACCCACUUUACUCUCGGGGGACAUUUGGAUCAUCUUUGGGCUUGGAUGCCGUGAAGAAAGCUGCCAGAGCCUUCGGGUGCAUGUGUCCGGGUGCAUGUGCGCACGCGUUUCUAUGGGCGCGUGUGCUGAAGCGGAUGCAUGUGUGCGUAUUUUCAGCUUUGGUAGACGAUCCCUAACCGUGGUUGCAUCCGGGUCAUGGCGUCACUACUCUACACCAGCCUGCAGUUCUAGUGGCUUUAUAUUCUUGCACGGUCUGAUGAAAGCAAACAAAAGAGGAGGAAGCAUGCGUAAGAAUUCAGAACAGAGAGGAAGCAAAAAGUAAGAUGGGAAAGGCAUCCCAGUGUGGCAGGAGUUAUGGUAAAUAUCCAUGACUUAAAUGGACUAGGACAAAGACUGGGAUAAAAAUUUCAUUUAGAAGAAACAUACUAAACGCAAGCUCACAGAAAAACUUAGGGUGAAUCGAUGAAAAGGAAAUGCCAGGAAAAUAGUAUCCCCAAGAAAGCCACGGAGAGGUGUAUUACUUCAGACGAACAGACUUGAAACCCAAAAAGUGUUAUUAGUGACAGAAUGGACGUCUGUCACCAGAAAGAUGGGACAUUUUCAAAGUGGAAUACAAUGAAUAAAACAGCUUUAAGAAACUGGAAGCAAAAAUUGGUAGGAUCGCUAGGAGAGCCAGAGCUGGCUGCCAUCACGAGAGAGACUUCUACGCGCCCGUAUGUCUGUGGCUGGCAGAGCAGGAAACAGAAAGAGCCUAGACUGGAAAAUGAUACAUUUUAUAUGUAUAUGUAUGUGUAUGUAUAAGUGAUACAUUAUAAUAAGAACUGAGUGGAAUUUCUAGAAAUGAAAAAACGCAGUAAAGGAAAUCAGAAACUCAGUGGAUGGGUUUAAAAGUGGUGGCUCAGUGAGUCAAAGCCUCUGCCUUUGGCUCAGGUCAUGAUCCCAGGGUUCUGGGAUCGAGUCCCUCGUCUGGCUAUCUGCUCAGCAGGGAUCCUGCUUUCGCCUCUCUGCCUGCCUCUCUGCCUACUUGUGAUCUCUGUCUGUCCAAUAAAUAAAUAAAAUCUUUUUUUAAAAAGUGGAUUAGAUAAGUCAUCGAACUCAAGGAACUGUCAGAAGGAAUUUUCUGGAACACUGCACAGAGAGACAAAGAUUAAGGUAUGUAGAACAGUAAAGUGGCCUAUGUUUCUUUAGAAUCCUAGAAGGAGAAGAGAGAAAAAUGGAGACAGAGCAAUAAAGUGCUAAGAGUUCAGCAUUUCCCACUACAGGUUCCCGCAGCCCAGUGACUCCCAGGUAGGAUUUUUUAAAAAGAACAGAUAUCAGGAUACAUUAGAGGAUGUGCCAGAAUGGCACGGUGAACCCAUAAUGUGUGACCAAGAUCUCACCACCGAGGAGCAUUUACUUCAUGGAAUUUUGAAAAAAUUAAAAGGUAGAACUUAAAUAAGGCAUGUAACUUGGAAGCCUGAUAGGAGUUAAAACGUUCUAAGGACGUAACUUUCUUGGCUUCAUCAAAAUAUGCAAAGUGAACAUUUCAGGGGGUUGUCCCCAGGGCCCUUUAUGGCUAUCCAGGAGUGAAUCAGGGCUUGUACCUUGCAUUUGGCUGUUGCAAAUGGAGCUGCUUUUAUUUUUUAACUAAAUUUUUUUAUUUUUAAAGAUUUUAUUUAUAUGUUUGUUAGACAAAGAGAGAGAGAGAGAGAGCACAAGCAGGGGGAGCAGAGGGGGAAGCAGGCUCCCUGCUGAGCAGAGAGCCCGAUGUAGGACUCGAUCCCAGGACCCUGAGAUCAUGACGUGAGCCAAAGGCAGAUGCUUAACCAACUGAGUCACCCAGGUGUCCCCAGAGCUGCUUUUUGGAUGGUUUUCCCACCUUUUUAUUUUUAUGGCAUGAACUUUCUGGAGAGACUGGGUGAAUUGCAGGCCGUUGUAGAAUGGCCUUCAUUCCGGAUUUGUCAGAUAGUUUCACCAGGGCUUAUUUAACACCGUUUUUUUUUUCAUAACUUGCAGAAAAUGUGUCACUUUGGUCUUCCCACAGCACCUGUGACAGGUAGCGCUGCACAUGCACUUUAGACACUAGACUAUAUCCUGAUGGAUGGGCUUUGGGGGAGAAGAGUGAGCAUAUAAGCUUUCUGAGUUGGCAUCUGAUGUUUGCAGUGUGGGAGAGACUGCUGGCCUUCCUCCCAGAACCCUGCAGAGCCCUUCGGACUGUGCGGCCCACCCCAGCGCGGCGGUGGCGAGCCCCGGGAUGGUGGAGAGUGGCCAGCCGGGACCCAAGGCGGGGCGGCCACACAGAGCGGGGCCGGGUCGAGGCGGGGUGGGGAGCGGGUGGCUGCAGGCUGCGACUGUUUCUGGUCCUCCCGCCGCUGAGGGACGUGACAAAGUCACGGACACAGGCGAAAAGAAAAUGAAGUCUAAGUCUUGCCAGCACAGGAGGCCUAAGUGGAAAAUGACUUCGGGAAACGCUAGAGCGAAUGUUUGAAUUUGUAGACUCUAUUAUAGAGUCUGUCCUGGCGCGAACUCUGGGGCCUCCAAAAGGGGCACCUGGGUAGCUCAGUGGGCUGGGCCUCUGCCUUCAGCUCAGGUCAUGAUCUCAGGGUCUUGGGAUGGAGCCCCCCACAUUGGGGGGUCCCUGCUCUGCGGGGAGCCUGCUUCCCCCUCUCUCUCUGCCUGCCUCUCUGCCUACUUAUGGUCUCUCUCUCUUUCUCUCUCUGUCAAAUGAAUAAAUAAAAUCUAAAAAAAAAAAAAAAGAGGAAACCACAAAGGCAACAUCGAGGGUGGGGGGGGGUCCUCCUGUCCAUGUGACCCCUUCCCAAGGACGACCUCCUUCAGCCGAGUCACCUGAAACGAUUUUCUCGAAGUUGCCGCAUAUGCUGCUGGGUUCGUGGGCAUGGCCACCGCCGAGGGGGCAUCCUUCAGAAAGGCCUGAGGGGAACAAACAGGCGUUUCACAGGCCCCAGCGAACAGACACAGCAGCAAUGGGUUUAUUGGGAAAACAGUGUGGCCGCCCCCCGGGGCCACUCAGCUGAUCCCCCUUGAGGACCCGCAGCUGCGUGCUCUGCAAACACGGGGCCCAGCGGGCCGCAGAGAACCCCUCCGUCCUUUCUGUUGGUGUUGGCCCGGUAUGCUUCUGCGCCCCACAUACUUGUGCAGGGAACAAACAAUCAGGACCAGCCAGGAGGCCUGAUCCACUGAGGGAGAACAGAUUGGGCUCUGUGAAAAUAUUUUCAAGGGUCAGAGUGUCCAUAGGGCCCUUGCUGUCCCCAUCAGGGACCCCCUGAGGACUCCCACUGUGCCCUGUGGCGCUGUUCUGAGCUUGUGCUCGCACAGCCUAACGGGAGGAGCCCUGUGAGCCUCGCUCUGCCAGGAAACACACGUGCUUCAUUCUGCAAGAGCUCCCCAGGUCACAUUGUUUGGGAUUUCUUUCUCCCCUGUCGAUCCUGGAAAUGGGGUCUGGGGCGGAGCGUGGGCACUGCCGGGGAGCCCGGGAGAAAUGCAGACUCCUGCGGGCUCCUCCCCAGGCCCCCUCAAGUCAAAUCCCAUGCUGUAGCCGGCCCCACCAGCGGGGUUUGUAGGCCUGUUCACGCCUGCAGGGCACACGGGGUUCGGGGUUUGUAGACCUGGCUGCAACAGCAGGAUCCUCCGUGCGGCUUUAACACACAUCUUUCCUUUCCUGCCCUUCUCGUGGCUCCUGGGGAACAGCCCACUUCUGCCCAUUCUCUCUCCUGCCUUUUCCACUUUCACGAAAAUGCCUUCAGAGUCAACAAAACCAUCUCGGGCUUGCGCAUGUUCUAGUGGGGAGGAAGACAGAACGUGCUGGGCUUCUCCUAUCUGAAGGGAAAUGGUCCCUUCACUUGAUAUCCCUUUCCACUCAGGCUUCUGCCCUAUUGCUUUUUGGUUUUGGUUUUGUAUUUGCUCUUUUCUAGCAAAACUCAUCAAGAGGCGUCUAUACGCCAAGUCUCUCUCCUCCUGUUACUUACAGUCACCUGCACUAGACCUAGCACUCCCAGCCCCCAGUCUAAGGAAACCGUCUGGUCAAGGUCACCAGUGACCCCACAUGGCUUAGUUUGAAGCCGCCUCAUCUACACUGCUGUCUCUCCAGCCCAGACGUCUAGACUGGGGUGUCUACCGUCUCUCGAGCGUCCUCCCUGGGAUGUCUGCGAGGCACAGACAGACUUCCUGACCUGCUCCUCAUCUCUGCCCACCCAAGUGUCACUGAGCAGUUAGUCGCUCAGGCCGACCUUCUAGAGUCAUUCUGGACUCCCGUCUCUCGGACCCUACUUCCAGUCCGCCCCGAUGUCCUCUUGGUUUCAUCCUCAACACAGAUCCGGGGUCAGACUCUCCUAGUGUCAGGCAGGCAUGGCAGCCGGCAACGUGGAAACGUCUCACGCCGAACGCUGGUGCGUGGCGCCAUCUGGCAGUGGCCCUCCUGCGUGCACCGGUCUCCACCGAAGUCCCCCAGCAGCGUGUUGGAACCCAGCCCCGGAACAACCGCAACUGUCCGGCAGCGGUGAGACCAUCAGGAAACCGUGGAGUAUGCAGGUGAGCCAACGGGAGGCAGGACGAGGAGGACGGACUGCAGCUGGACGUGAAUCGCAUGCACGGUGUGGAAGGAAGCCGCACACAGGCUAUGCGGUGUGAGUCCAUGGGUGUCAAGUUCAAGAGCAGCCACGAGGAGCCUCAGGGUCUGGAAGGCGGAGGAGUGAUUGCCCCUGGGCAUAGGUGGGGCUGCCGCCUGAGCAGCACUGAAGGCCUCCAGGGGCAGAUCGCUGGCGAGUCUUCAUCCGGGGGGCUACACAAAGUGCUUGCCCUGUAGGAGUGCUGUGAGUGUACACCCUAGGAUCUGUGUGCUUUGCUGCUAAGUUUUCCCUGGAUUCAAAACACCCAGACUCAAGCGCCGCUCUUCCCACCUGCACGGCUCCUCCCUGGAUCCAAGCCCGGGACUCCCUCGGGUGACUCCCGAGCUGCCCCUGCUCCCAGUGUUGUCCAAGGAGAUCUGAGCUCAACACAGCCAGAAAGUGGCUGGGUUUUAUCACUCUGAGGCUCACCUCUGCAACGGCUCCUUCUGAGUAGCAUCUAGAUUCUUCCCAGUCAGCCUCAUGGCCGGCAGGAUCCAGCCCCGGGGCUCCUUGCUGCCCUACCACAUGCCUGGCCCCUCUCGGCAGAGGCCUUUGUCUGCUGUUCCCUCAGCCCGGGAACAAGGACUGUGCUGACCCGCAACUGACCUUGCACUCAGCACCCCCGGCACUCCUGUUCCUCCUCAUUCUGUACGACUCUCGUGACGUUACUCCAGCAACUUCUUCCUCCAAAAAACUCUGCGUGGUUUGAAGGGUAGACCCCAGAAAUGUCCGCCCAGAACCUAUGGGUGUGACCUCAUUUGGAAAAGGGACUUUGCAGGUAUAAUGAAAGGUCUGGAGAUGAGAGCAUCCUGGUUAGGGAGGGCACAAACUCCAAUGGCAAGUGUCCACAGAAGAGAAGAGAAGGGGAGAAGACACCCAGAGGCCCAGGGAAUGCGAAGAUGGGGGUGCAGAGGCGGGGUGAUGAGUCCACCAGCAAAGGACUGCUGGCUGCCAUUGGAAGCAACGGAAGCUACAGGGAGUGGAUUUUCUCUCCGGGCUUCCAGAAGGAACCAGGGCUACCAACGCCUUCAGUUUGGAUGCCUGACCUCCGGCUGUGGGCAAGAAUUCAUCUCUGUUGUUCUAAGCCACCGAGGCUGAGGUAAUUUUCUCCAGCAACUCUAGGAAAAUCAUGCAUAUGCCAUAUCAUGGAUUUAUUAUUAUUAUUUUCUGUGUUCUCUCACUCUUGGCUCCCUGAGGGCACAAAUGACUAUUUUGUGCGUGAUGUGUUUCAAGCACCAGGGCUGGGCACCUAGUAUGCACUCAAGCCUGAAAAGGAACGGAUUUAUUGAUUUUAGUGUGCGAAGUCCCUGCUGAAGUAUUCUAAGACUCAGCCGAUUAAACAAAUGGUUGACACGUGGCGCCCUGGAGGGGCCAACAGGAAUGGACGCUGCCCGUGGCAAUGUGGAUGAAGGUCAAGAACAUUUUGCUGAGCGGAAGGAGCCAGACAUAAAAGAAAGCGGGCUGUGUGAAACGAGCUGAGCGUUCCCAAGAGAAAGCAGAUGAACAUGGCUCUGAGCCCAGGGCACGGGAGGGUCACUGAACACCAGCUAUUUUUGGGGGGGUGGUGAAUAUGGCCCAAUCUCUUAGUGAACACUCAAGCAUCGCGUCUGUCCGAACUCAUCAAACGGGACCCCUGAUAUGGGUGCAGGUGACUGUAUGUAAAUGAUAUCUCAAAAAAGGUGGUAUCAUCAGGUGGUUUGUCUAGAAUAAUGUCAUAAUUAUCUAGAGCAAAUCCCCACUGUGGACCCUGAAGCAGGUGUGAAGAUGUGAUUUUGGAGUCCAAGACUCUAUGUGGCAAGAAUGUAGAAGGAAGCAGAAAAUGUAACACCAAAGGGACAGAGAACAGGCAGUGCUGACUGUCGGGAGCCUGACAGAGGGCGCGCACCUGAGAGGCGGCGCUGUCGGCAGAGUCCCCGUCUCCGACCCCAGUGCUCCAGCUUCGCACCUGCCGCUCAGGCCUCCGGAACGCACCAGCAGCCUCCGCCGGGAGUGAGGAGCCCUUGACUGAGUUAAUAGGGCAGCUGUCCUGGAGGACACCGGGGGUUGCCUGUUACCCCCACCUGGCUCCCUCAGGCUUCUCCUUAUCUAUUUAUCUUAUCUUAUCUAUCUUUUUCAGGUGGGCUUGACUCUGACAACAGAUCAUGGAUGUUAGUUACCAAGCGGGACGGGCACUGGUUCAAGGAUUCAAAGGUCUAGUUCAUGUGAACCAGUGAUCAAUUUCAGAGGUCUUGUUGGUGGCUUUCAAAUAACAGCUGUUUUAUAAGGAAAGGAAAUUCCAGAGCAAAGUCUGAUGUGAAUAUUGAUGCAAGGAGUAUUGAUCCCAAGGAGUAUGUCAACUAACAGGAACCAGCAAGGUAUAAAAGGAUAGUGUAUCAUGACUGCUGCAGGGGGGGGGUCCCUUGGGAAGCAUAUGAUAUAGAGAUUGGUGUGCAGGACCCCAGAUGGGUGGGGUUGGGGGGUGGUCCGUGGGAAGGGGAAGAGCAGGGCUGGGCAGGCCCCAUGGAAAGGCUCUGAACACUGUGGGGUAUUGUGAAGGGGGCAAGAGGGCCUGACCCUUGUACCUCUACAUUGACCCUUGUCAGAUGCUGUCACCUGGAGGGGCAGGUAAACUUGGCCAAGGCAGUUCACUUUAGCUGGGCAGUCAGCAAAGGAUAGGCAUCUGACUGAGAAUAGUUGAAUAUCAGAAAAUUAAGUGUUGCACUUUGCAACCUUAACAGAAAAAGAUGAGAAAAAGAGUAUCAUCUCAACAUCUGGCAAAAUUCAAUACCCAUUUAUAACCUUUAUAAAUGAUCUCAGCUAACUGGGAAUAGACAAGAACAUCCUUAAUCUAAUACAGAAUAUUGUAAACGUUCUUCUUCUUCUUCUUCUUCUUUUUUUUUUUUUUUUUUUUUUUGGUUGCAGAGGAGCAGAGAGAGAGGGAGAGAAUCUUAGGCAGGCUCCACGCCCAGCACGGGGCCUGAUGUGGGGCUCGAUCUCCCAACACUGAGAGCAUGACCUGAGCCGAAAUCAAGAGGUGGACACGUAACUGACUGAGCCAUCAGGUGCCCCUUGCAAACAUUAUUCUUAUUUGUGAAGUAUUUAAAGGGUUCCCCUAGAGACUGGGAAUGAGGCAAAGCUGUCCUCUAUCACCUUCCAUUUAACACUGUACUAGAGGUCCUGGCCAGUGCAAUAAGGCAAGAGAAAUAAAGAAACGAUACAGUAUCCCACUUACCCAGAAUUAUUUACCUGCAAACUGCAACUAUGUAACCAUGCAGAUAACCUGGCUGGUGAACAUUGUCUUAUAAAGCACCUGAAAAGGUAUUGGAGCUGCCAAGAUGCCAAGUCUAUGCACAUCACCCAUAGAAGAGGAGUCCCUUAAGCCCUCACUCUGGGGAUAGGAAUAAUUCUAAUAAGCUUUUCCAAGCCCGUACCACUUAGAAGCAGAGACUAGGCAUGGGUCACAAUCAGAGUGUGAGCUACCAGCCUGAUGAAAGGACACCCGUGGACGUGGGGAAACCCUAAGAAAAGAUGCAGUCGUUCAAAAAACAUGGUGCUUGGGCCCCCCUGGGUGGCUCAGUUUCUUGAGUGUUCAGCUUUCUGUUUUGGCUCAGGUCGUGAGCUUGUGGGUCAUGGGAUCAAGCCCUGCGUGGGGCUCCACAUUCGCCAGGUAGUCAGCUUCAAGUUUCUCUCCCUCUGUCUCUCCCCCUGCUCACACACUAUCUUUCUCUCUCUCUCUAAUAUAUAUAUAUAUAUAUUUUUAAACAAACUACAGUGCUUGCAAACCACUUAUUACUGGGGCAAACAGCACUCCAUACCUUAGCAGCCCAUGGCUGCUAGACAGUCAUUGACACUUGUCAGGAAAAGAAAAUUAUAAUUGUGACUCACCACUUAAAAGGAUGGGAAUUAUGUUGCGUACAAAAGGUUUUUCUAGUGUCCGGGUUUUCAAACAAUUUUGGUCAUUGGUAUGGGGAAAUUUUCAUUAUCAGAAAACUAACUUAGAGGUAAUAUCUAAUUUUGAACAAUCUACCCAAGGUCUUCAUGGCUUAAGCAGCACUUGUGCAGGACGCAGGGGUGCGGUUUCACCGACACUGGUGCGGAGCUUCUGUCAUGGGCCCUCACACUUGAGUCACCGAGGGGCGCCGUGGGCUGAGGGCUCGCUCAGUCGAGGGAUACGCUUUUCCUCAGAGCCCUGGCUGUGGUCUGGCCACACGAGCACACGCUGGGCUUGAAAGGCUGAGCAGGGUUGUGAUUCCUCGUCUGAGUUCAGCCUUUGGGAAGGACUAACAGCAUGUACGGAACGUCCACCACGUGCAGCCUCUGUCUUCCCAGUUCAUGGUGGGACCCGGUGCUGGCAGUGCCCAACACAUCCUGCUUGUCAUUGCCAGGAGGUAGCCAGCGGAAGGUUCCGUGUCUCUUCUCAAACAUUGGAGCUUGCUCGACCCAGGCACGAGAAGGGCUGAGAGUUCAUGUCUCAUGAGCAACGCUCAACCUGAUAAAGGAGCUUGGUGGAGGGCGCCCCGGCCUCCUCGCUCCUGAGUGGGAUGGAGCUUGGUGGCCCACAGCGGUCGCCCGCACGUGAACACGCCCUUUCUCGGCUUCCUCCCUUUUCUGCUUUCUGCCCCCCUGCCCUCACUGUGCUUCCUGGGGUCCCCUCCCACCCCGUCUGCCUUUGGCUCAGGUCAUGAUCUCGUGGUCCUAGGGUUGAGUCCUGCAUUGGGCUCUUGGCUCAGCGGGGAGUCUGCUUCUUCCUUGCCCUCUGACCCUCCCCCCUCCACUCAUGCUCUCUCACUUUCUCUCAAAUAAAUAAAUAAAAUCUUUUGAAAAACAGUAUUGCCUAAAUACUACUAUUCUGUCUUGCCUAAAUACUACUAUUGUCUUUAUUUAUUUAUUUAUUUUUAAAGAUUUUAUUUAUUUAUUUGGCAGACAGAGAUCACAAGUAGUCAGAGAGGCAGGCAGAGAGAGAGGGGGAAGCAGGCUCCCUGCUGAGCAGAGAGCCCGAUGCGGGGCUUGAUCCCAGGACUCUGAGAUCAUGACCUGAGUGGAAGGCAGAGGCUUUAACCCACUGAGCCACCCAGGUGCCCCUUCUGUCUUUAUUUUUAAAAGACUUGCUUACAUGAGAGGAAUCAGGUCUUGAACUUCUGAUGGCAAAGCUUCAGUAUAUAAUAAGCAUUUACACAUAAGCCAUGGAAAUCGUUCACGCCCAAUGUGUGCAAUCCACUCUAUCCAAGAGCACCUAGCAUGUCAAAGUGUACGCAUCUCUACGGACUGUCCCAUUGAUCAGAAUGGAAGUGAUAGCAAAUGUUUUAUGAAACAGAAUUACAUUCCAUUCAAUAUAGAGCAAUAUCUCCCCAACAGUGUUAUAAGACGCAAGUGGGUGAUCACGAGACAGUUAACAGAGACUCAGAACGAACCACAUAAUGGGGAAAAAAAUGAAUGCUUAGAUGUUGAACAGAAAAUAUUAGUAACAAAAACCCUUUAUACUUAUUUUUGUUGAUAAAAGGUCUGAGUCAGAGCAUAGCAGGAGCCUUGAAUUUUUAAGUUCGACCAAAGUUGCAUCAUGACAACCAGGAAUGUACCGUCUAGACAGCUUAGCGCCCCGGAGGGUUAAUCACUCCUUCAGCCAAUGCUCUUAGAAGCCCAAAAUACAUAGACUGGAGAGGCUUGCUAGCUUAGUCAAGUGCGAUAAAUCUUAAAACUAGGUACGUGUGCAAAAAAUAAAUAUUUAAGACUUCGUUUUGUGCAAACAAAGACUUAUCUUUUCAUUCCAAAAGAAUACCCAGCCUGAUGCUGGGCAAAAGCUGAGCACAAGGUAUUUAGAUGCAACAGAAUCAUCGUGUUGAUUUAUAUCAAAGAAUGUCCUAUAUAUCUCCCCGUGGGGCACAGUUAGGUUUUAAGGUUUCAGAAUUACUUUGGAAUUUAUGAUUGAACAGGAACACACCGUACAGAAUAUUUCAAAGUUGCUACCAAAAAACAAGCUGAAAUUUUUCUUAGCAAUAUAGGUUUCUCAACACCUCUUCCGCCCCCGUGGGCAUCACAUUGAGAAGAUGCAGGGAGGUAAUGAUCAAAUGGUCUCUGAUGGCUCUUCUAGCAUGUUCUGUUUCUGAAUUAUAUAGAAUAUCCUGGUCCUUAAGGAAUGGGAUAGAUCUUUGGAGAGAGUAUCAACUUGGGGCUAAAGAACUAGGCGGGUAAAAACUCUAGAAGGAAGAGAGAUUCACAAGUGACCUGAACGGUGAGAGGCUGGUGGGGAGAGAUUAUGCACUAGAUGCUGGCCUGUUGGAUUUUUCCCUCCCUUCUCUGAUUCGUUCUUCUUUUUAAGACUGCCUUCUGUGUCCUUUUCAGGGGAGGUCGUUGGUCUUACCCUUUAUCAUUUGUUCCUUCGGUGUUUUAACACAAAGCCUCUAAGAAAAACAGCAAAUUCAAGGCUAGUAUUACAAGCUUGAAUAAAAAUAAUGAGCCUUAUUGUCUGAUCGGUGAACCCUUCUUGGUGAAUAAAAUCUUCAUUUGUGCAAGUGGGAUGACCUCUCAGCAGACUGCACUUCUUUCAGGCGUGACGCUCUGCUUCUGGAAACGCAAACAGUUACUUUCUAAACGUGACAGAAGUCAGUCCUUUCCUUCUGAUGCAUUACUGCUUUGUGCACCUUAUUUUAUUUACCUUUAUGGCAAAUCGCUGCACUACAUGACUGCGGAGAUUGAGGCCUCAUUUUUUUUUUUUUUAAAGAUUUUAUUUAUUUAUUUUACAGAGGGAGAUCACAAGUAGUCAGAGAGAGAGAGAGAGAGAGAGGAGGAAGCAGGCUCCCUGCUGAGCAGAGAGCCUGAUGUGGGACUCGAUCCCAGGACCCUGAGAUCAUGACCUGAGCCGAAGGCAGCGGCUUAACCCACUGAGCCACCCAGGCGCCCUGAGGCCUCAUUUUUAAUGAUUUAAUGAUUUUAAUGCUUUAUCCAAAAUCACUCCAGAAUAAAAGCAGAACCCAUGGAAACAGAAUAAGAAUCCCUUGAAAAUGCAGUUACUCUAGAUGCAUACAAAUAAAUGAACAACAAUCAGAAGUUGAAUCUUAGGUCUGCUAACUGGAACAUAAGUCAUAAUUUAAGAGAAUAUUCUAGACGACUGAGGUAUAAAGAUUAUAUUUAUUCUGAGUCUAGAGACUUUCUCAACUGUAGAAGUAUGGAUGCACCUGACUUCAGCGAUCCAGAUUCGUGACUAGGUGGGGUUGAAAAAAUGUCUGCAUGGGGGUGGGGGGACGCCUGGGUGGCCCAGUGCGUUAAAGCCUCUGCCUUUGGCUCAGGUCAUGAUCCAAGGGUCCUGAGAUCAAGCCCCACAUGGGGCUCUUUGCUCAGCAGGGAGCCUGCCUCCCCUCUCUCUUUGCCUGCCUCUCUGCCUGCUUGUGAUCUCUGUCAAAUAAAUAAAUAAAAUUUAAAAAAAAAAAAGUCUGCACAUCCUCUGAUAAUUACAGAGUUUAGCUAGAGAGACUGAAGUUAAUCAGAUCCU